GACAUGCUGAGCACCCCCAGCCAGCCGAGGCCCCGGGUGGCCGCCCGACGAGUCGGUGCUGGACUGGCGCGAGUGCGAGCCCGAAUCAGGCUCCUUGAAGAAAGACUCCGGCAGGAUCUUCUUCCGCCACGAGCUAGGCUUCGGAUUCAUGACAGAGUUGAAGAGGGCUUCGAGGUCUGUGUCUAGGUCCUGCGUGACGUGGAUCACUUGCUGCCCAGGCGGCGGGAGCGGAGGGGGCGCCGAGGCCGGAUUCAUCUUCUGCAAAAAGAAGGAUGGCAAAGGAAAGGUCGCAGGUUUCCAGGACAGGCAGCCCCUCCAAAGAAGUUCAGCCCGAGCCAACUCCACCACGUCUCGACUCCGGAAGCCCAAGGAGCCUGGAGCCCUGGAGUGGUGCGGGGUGAGCGCGCGAGCUCCAGCGGGCACUACCUGGGCGGGCAGCGAAGCUGAGCCUGAGCGCGCGGCGGCCGC
rnacentral:antisense_RNA from 1 species